UAGAGUUUGAUCCUGGCUCAAGAUGAACUCUAUCGAUAGGCUUAACACAUGCAAGUCGAGGGGCAGCACUGGCAGCAAUGCUUGGUGGCGACCGGCGCACGGGUGCAUAACACGUAUGCAACCUGCCUGUAAGUGUGGGAUAGCCUCCUGAAAGGGAGAUUAAUACUGCAUAACAUGUUUUUACUGCAUGGUAUUUACAUCAAACAUUUAUGGCUUACGGAUGGGCAUGCGUUCCAUUAGGCAGUUGGUGUGGUAAUGGCUCACCAAACCUACGAUGGAUAGGGGUUCUGAGAGGAAGGUCCCCCACACUGGAACUGAGACACGGUCCAGACUCCUACGGGAGGCAGCAGUGAGGAAUAUUGGUCAAUGGUCGCAAGACUGAACCAGCCAAGUCGCGUGAAGGACGACGGCCCUAUGGGUUGUAAACUUCUUUUACAGGGGAAUAAAGUGCGCCACGUGUGGUGUUUUGUAUGUACUUUGUGAAUAAGGAUCGGCUAACUCCGUGCCAGCAGCCGCGGUAAUACGGAGGAUCCGAGCGUUAUCCGGAUUUAUUGGGUUUAAAGGGUGCGUAGGCGGGAUGAUAAGUCAGCGGUGAAAGUUUUCGGCUCAACCGGAAAAUUGCCGUUGAAACUGUUGUUCUUGAGUGCAGAAGAGGUAGGCGGAAUUCGUUGUGUAGCGGUGAAAUGCGUAGAUAUAACGAAGAACUCCGAUUGCGUAGGCAGCUUACCAUGUUGCAACUGACGCUGAGGCACGAAAGUGUGGGUAUCAAACAGGAUUAGAUACCCUGGUAGUCCACACAGUA
rnacentral:rRNA from 1 species